rnacentral:lncRNA from 1 species
AUGUUAAGGAUUCAAGUCAAAGCAACAGUAUCGGGAAGGCCCGCAGUUUGCUGCGCAGUAAAUGGUACUUUAGUAAGUAAAUGGCCAGCCUCAGAGAAGCAGAGACAAGCACUGUAUUUCCCCUGUCAUAUUAGCAAAUACACAGAAGGGCAACUUAAAAAAUGGAUUUACUUCACAACUACUGGUUCUCUAGCCCACAAACAUAUGUCAGAAUUACCUGCGAAGGAAGGUUCUAAAAAAUAUUUAAGUCUGGGCCUCACGCCUGGAGAAGGCUGCAAGGAGUGGGGGCUUGGGAUGCUGGCAUUUUCAAAAAGCUCUUGGGGGAGUUCAGAGGUUGCCUUCUGCUUGAGUCUCUUGAUUUUUAGGUUGACUGGAGUACUUUGCGCUUUUGGGGCCACUGUUUGGGGAGUGUGGGGAGCUUUCUUUGCAGAUUUAUUAGCAGUAGUAAAGAACUUGGCCCCUGGCUUUUUGGUCUUCUGUCUUGGGUCUUUUUUCCCCAGUGAAGAGUUUCUUUCUUUCUCUGCCUCUCAAAAACAAAGUUACGGUAAGGGAGAUUCCUUAAUUUGCUACAAUAAAAUCUUUUUUUUUUUUUUUCUACAAUAAAAUCUUAAUUGCACUUUCAGGCAGACGUGAUAUAGGUGAUUUUUGGAGAAGUUAGUAUUUUUUUUCUUUUAUUCAUGAGAGACACACAGAAAGAGGCAGAGACAUAGGCAGAGGGAGAAGCAGGCUCCCUGUGGGGAUCCUGAUGUGAGACUCGAUCCCAGGACCCUGGGAUCGCAACCUGAGCCCAAGGCAGAUGAUCAACCACUGAGCCACACAGGCGUCCAGAGAGGUUAGUCUUGACAAGCCUCUUUAACUCUAUUGUUUAUAGACUAAAAAAAGAAAAAAAAAUCUGAUAAUGGGCAUGGAUGGGGAAAAGGUUACCCUAAUUACCUGAUUGUUCCUAUUAAGUGAUGAUUAACGCUCUCUAUGAAUUGGAUCUGUUAACUCUAAAGCAAAUGUAUGAUUACUCAGAUGGGUAGACUGCAUGCCACCAAAUCUGGAUUUUUUUCCUCAAGGCGGUAAGAUUAUAUUAGAUUUGUCUCAGUUCACUUUUUAAAAAGAAUUUAUUUAUUUAUGUAUUUUAGAGACCAUGUGAAGAGGGGAGGGUCAAAGGGAGUGGGAGAUGCAAAGAAUCUCAAGCACACUGAGUGCAGAGCCCAAGGCAGGGUGUGAGCCCAUGACCCUGAGAUCAUGACCUGAGCUGAAAUUGAGUAGGACACUUAAUCAACUGUGUUACCCAGAUGCCCUCUGGUUGUUCACUUUUUAAAAUAUUGCACUUUAUUAAUCAUCUAUGGUUGAGGAAUCAGGAUAGCAUUCACAGUGACAAUAUACUGAUAAAAGUAUAAAUCUCUCUGAUAAUUUUAAUUAAACAGAAUAAGCCAAAAGGAAAAAAACAAAUGUUUCUAAGCUUUCACACAUUAAAUGUAAAACUUCAGAAGUCAUAAGAACCCCUGCAAACACUGAGUUUCUUUAAAAAGUGAUUGUCAAAAUAAUCAAAAUUCUUUUGAAUUCCUUAGUCAGAAAAAUUAGGACAUUUUAAAAACUAACAUUUAUUGAUGAUAAAUUACAUGAAAGGGAGAGAUCAUAUCUAUCUUAUUCACCACAAUAUCUUGGGCAUCAUGCCUGGCACAUUCUAGGUGUCCAAAAAAAUAUUUUUAAAUGAGGGAAUGAAUGUCCGGUGUGGGUUAGCAAUGUUAUACAUGUUAUCUUAUUUAAUCUUCACAAUAUUGCUAAAAAUUAAGUUUUGGAAUUCCCAUUGUAUAGAUGAAGAAAUUGGGUCUCAAAGGGAAUAAGGGAGUUGCCCAGGUCACACAACUAGGAAAUGGCAAAGAUGGGACUCAAACUAUAAUGUGCCUGACUUUACCCUCAUUAUUUAUUCAAUGAUGACACUUGUGUGUUUUUUUUUUUUUAAGAUUUUAUUUAUUUAUUCAUGAGAGACAUAGAGGGAGAAGCAGACUCCUCUCAGGGAUCCCGAUGCAGGACUCAAUCCCUGGACCCGAAAUCACACCUUGAGCCAAAGGCAGACACUCAACUACUGAGCCACCCAGGCGUCCCUAUGAUGACACUUGUUUUAGCAAAGACUGCCAGUGGCCCACCCAACAGCCAUUUCCCUCCUCAUCCUUAGUUUGAGCUCUCAUUUUGUUUCAGUGUCUUGUUCCUUCAGGUGACUCAGGUAAAUCCUGAUUGGUCUAAGCCAAAAUAACGCCUCCAUUCUCCAUGCCUGGGCCCAGUUUAAGGGUUUGGAAUAUGAUCUGGCUUUGGUCAAUGAGAUUGGAAGGAACUCCUCUGAUGAUGGGGGUGGAGGAAGGGUCCUGGAAAAGAAUUUCUUUUGCCUACUUAACAGAGAAACACAAGAGGGAAAUAGACCUUUCUCUGACUGCUAAGUGUUGAUAUGGGGAUGUGAUGUGUAGAGCUGCUAAAGCCGUCUUACCUCCAGGAGGUAAGCUAAAAGAUAGUCUUAGGUGCUUUAUAUGUUGUUGGGCUUCCAAUAGGUAGUACCAAUAGAUCAAAUUCUUAGUUUUGAUCAGCCAGUUACUUGAGACGUUGGGCUGCCAACCAGCUACCUGGAAUGUCAGUCACUCUGUAGUAGUGGCCCUGUCAAAAAUAACUCCAUGACAAUUUUUAAAACCUCUAGUCCAGAUGGACAUAUAAAAUGAAAUACUAUUGUAUUUUUAAAAAGUAUUUUAUGUAAAUUCAAUUUGCCAACAUAUAGUAUAACACCCAGUGCUCAUCCCAUCAAAUGCCUUCCUCAGGGCCUGUCACCCAGUUACCCCAUCCCCCCACCCACCUCACCUUCUGCAACCCUUUGUUUCCCAGAGUUAGGGGUCUCUCAUGGUUUGUCUUUCUCUCUAAUUUUUUCCCCCACUCAGUUUCCCUCCUCUCCCUUAUAGUCCCUUUCACUAUUUCUUAUAUUCCACAUAUGAGGGAAACCAUAUACUAUUGUGGUUUUUAUCAUUAUUUUAUGGAGGUGGGAUGUCUUAACUUAUUCAUUAACUCACUCACCAUUUACUGGUGCCAAAAGCAUGGUAAGUACUUGAACAGAGAUGACACCCAACCAGCCUGCUCAGGAAGAGGAAGGGUCAGGGAAGUCUCUAUACUAGAGCUGACAAGAAAUGACACUUGAACUGAACCCAACAGACCAAUAGGAGUUACCCAGGUAGAAGAAGAAGAAAAAAAGGGCAUUCUUUAUAAAGGAGGUGGCAAAUGAGGUGCUUGGGGGUCUGAGAGAAUAUGUCAAAUUCAAGGAAGUACGAGGAAUGGAGUAUGUAAGGUGUAAGUGAAAGAAUCUGGAAAGAAGUUUAGAGAGGUGAACAGAGGUCUGGUCACAGAGGGCCUUGGGGUCAAGCAAUGGUGUAAGACCUACAUCAGGAGGCAGUAGGGAGUUACCGAAGGGUAUUGAACGUAUAAGGAAUAUGAUGGUAUUUGAAUUUUUAGGAAGAUUGCUUUGGUAGCUCAGAGGAGAAUAUUUUGGAGGCAGGAAAAGAGAUGAGUAGAGAUGAUGAGAAGGAGAGAAGAAAUCAAGCAGGGUUUUUAGAUUCAAGAGAUAUUUAGGAAGUGAUGUAGCGGGAAUGUGAUGCCUUGUUAUGACAAGAUGAGAGCAAAGGAGCAGGAGGUUUGCAAAGAAAUGCAGGGCUAGCGAGGGGGAUGGAGGGGCCUGCCCAGCUGUGCUGAGAGCUAAGCUGAGGAUGGAGACCAUGAGCUAAUGACUCCUAUACACGUGGUUGAGUGAUAGUGUGGUUUUAGAAGCGGAGAAGGCUGGACUGAUCCAUAGUUGGAUAAGUACUCAAAAGGAAAAAGGAGCAAGAGGAGUGAGAAGCUGAAGCUGUUCUUUAAGAGACAGCUUAAAGUGCUGAGCAAGACAGCAAUGGAAGCAAAACAGGAAAUAAGUCUGACACAUGGAGUGACAUCAGUGAUAGGACUUCAGUCACAAUCCUGAUGAAUAAUCAGGUAUAAUUGGAGCAAUAAGGGUAACAGAAGUUUAUGGUAAGAAAGUUGAAUAGUGUGGUUUAAGAUUUUACAGAUGGAGUAGCUGCAGGGAAUAAUAUAGAAGUCGGGCUGAGUUGUGGAUACCUGGAAACGAAGGGCAUUGAGGAAGCCAAGGCACUGGGUGUUGGAAGGGUCAUCCACAUGAACACUGAAAGACAGCAUAAUUAUGGCAGAUUUAGGGUAGAGAGAAAAGUCAUAAACCAUGCUCCACAAUCUCUGACAUGUAUCAGAGAGGAAUGAGAACAACAAGAAGGGAUGGAGGAGAGAAAAUCUGAAAGACACAGGUUUCCAAGGAAGGAUUUGGACAGGAGAUUGGUGGACUAUUGACGAGGCAAGUGCUACUUGUUAUUGAACACUUACUAUGUGCCAGUUCUGUUCUACAUCCUUUAUAGAUUCUAAACUCAUUUAAUUCUCUAUUAUACUCCGGUUUACAAAUGAGAAAACUGAUUCUUUGUGACAUUUAAUAACUUGCUCACGGUACAUAGCCAUGAUUCCAGUCCAGGUGGUUUGGCUCCAAAGUCCACACUUUUACCCAUGUCCGGCUGAUUCUGUUGAACAAACCCAGCCGGGCCCUGUGGUUAGGAGGAAAGUUCAAGAGCCUCCACUUUAGAGUAUAAGAAGGAGGUAGUGUUUGUGUUUGGGGAGUCAUUCAAAAAAGGCAGAACAUGACUAGUCCUUGAUAACAUCAACUCUUUUAAUGUUUUUCAGAGUCUACUUUAUUUUGCGCUCAAACAUAAUAGUAUACCUUUGAACUCUGUGUUAAUAUAUAAACUCAAACCUUUUUAGAAGUGGGUGCAAUAGACUUUUAAAGUAAAUAGCUACAUCAAAAUUAACUAUGAGUACUCAGUUACAUAAAGGAAUUAGUUUUGCAUCUUUCAGAGAACUGAGAUACAUUUUGAGAAUGGCAGUAAGCAAAAUAAAAUAUGCAGUCUUGAAAAAUACAUGGUUCUGGUUUUUUGCACUGGCAUUACUAAACUUGACAGCAAACCAGUUUAUUUGAGCUUCAUGCUACCUGUUGGAAGAAAUUCUCCUAUUUCUUUUUUAAAUUUUUGUUACCUGAUAGGCCUUAACUAUCAUAAAAAACAAGAGCCCAACAAUGUUAGAAAGCAUUAUAAUCCAAAGAAGAAGCCUACUUUGCUUGACUCAUAUUAGGUUCUAUUUAUUUUCUUAGAAUUAAGGCCCAAAGAACCUUUGAAUAAAUUGCUAAUCCUAUAAGCACUGGGAAACCAAUGUCCUUGUCUUACAGAGCUACCAUUCUUUAUGAAAAGUAUGGUUCUAAGAAGGGUAAAACUAUUUCUGCUGUUCAAAUCACCAAAGAUCCCAAAGUUUGAUAGCAUGCUGUGUUGUUGAAGGUAUCUUGAGACAGGCACUUUUAUACCUUGAAAGGAGGAGUAUGAACUGGUGCAACUG